rnacentral:rRNA from 1 species
UACGUAGGGGGCGAGCGUUGUCCGGAUUUAUUGGGCGUAAAGAGCUCGUAGGCGGUUCGAUAAGUCGGAUGUGAAAUCUCCACGCUCAACGUGGAGGGGCCAUUCGAUACUGUCGUGACUCGAGUCCGGUAGGGGAGUGUGGAAUUCCCGGUGUAGCGGUGAAAUGCGCAGAGAUCGGGAGGAACACCGGUGGCGAAGGCGGAUCUCUGGGCCAUUACUGACGCUGAGGAGCGAAAGCGUGGGGAGCGAACAGG